GAGUCAUUAGCUCAGUCGGUAGAGCACCUGACUUUUAAUCAGGGUGUCGAAGGUUCGAAUCCUUCAUGACUCA
rfam:Paenibacillus antarcticus strain CECT 5836 PBAT34, whole genome shotgun sequence.